GUCGUGGCAGUUCGGUAGGAUGGACAUUCAUUUUGUCACAAGAAAAGGUCUUGGGAACGUCAGCAUCAUGCGUAUUUUGUACUGCAAUAUCUGGAGCAUCGGGGGCAGUACUGGCCAAUGCGGUGAACAACUAUGUUGAGCGUAGCAGCGAAUGCCGUAGUGUGCGAGAGGCAGCGUUCCUUUGUUCUCCGCCUUCAAGUUUCACAGGUGCUCGUGAUAUCUUGAUCUGGGAGUGGUGAAAGCAGCGGUGACCUAUUCUAUGAGCAGUCUGAUAGUAGAGAUAAGAUUGGCUGCAAAGGAAAUGAGUUGCCUUUCCACAUCUGACUGCGCUGCUCUCCAAGGUUCCUUGUUUUUUGUGUAACAGCUAAUCUGGUUGUUGAGUCAGCUAGUGUCGCCAUUUGUUGUUUUGUAUGAACUAAUAGCUUCUGUUACAGUUGUCAGAGAGCUUGAACUGCAUGUGAUUUCGUCACACCGAUAGCAUGUCAUGCAUGUGUAAAGGACCUGGUGUCUCUCUACAACAAUGAAGAGCGGGGCAUAAACCAGAAGACGAAAACAUCGCUUGGACAUGCCAGUGAUUAGGCUGCUUCCGCAUCACACCAUCUAUACUCCGAAAGUUACUGCGAGAUGACCGUUGCGAAGAGGCGUAGCGACCAUCCAUGCGAUUAUUA